AUACGUAGGGUGCAAGCGUUAAUCGGAAUUACUGGGCGUAAAGCGUGCGCAGGCGGUUUUGUAAGACAGAGGGGAAAUCCCCGGGCUCAACCUGGGGACUGCCUUUGUGACUGCAAGGCUCGAGCAAGGCAGAGGGGGGUGGAAUUACGAGUGUAGCAGUGAAAUGCGUAGAUAUGCGGAGGAACACCGAUGGCGAAGGCAAUCCCCUGGGCCUGUACUGACGCUCAUGCACGAAAGCGUGGGGAGCAAACAGGAUUAGAUACCCUGGUAGUCCACGCCCUAAACGAUGUCAACUGGUUGUUGGGUCUUCAUUGACUCAGUAACGAAGCUAACGCGUGAAGUUGACCGCCUGGGGAGUACGGCCGCAAGGUUGAAACUCAAAUGAAUUGACGGGG
rnacentral:rRNA from 1 species